GUCUGUUAGUAUAUUAAUUGAAAGUCUAGCCUGCCCACUGAAAGGUUUAAAGGGCCGCGGUAAUCUGACUGUGCAAAGGUAGCAUAAUCAUUAGCUUUUUAAUUGAAAGCUGGAAUGAACGACUAGAUGAGAAAUAAGCUGUCUUUUUUUAUUUUAUAGAAAUUAACUUUUAAGUGAAAAGGCUUAAAUUUUUCGGGGGGACGAUAAGACCCUAUAAAACUUUGAUAUUUUUUUUAUUUAAAAUUUGGAUUUAAGGUUUAAUCUGUUUAUUGGAUUUAAUAUUUUGUUGGGGAGACACAGAUAUAACAUCUAACUGUCUGUUUAAAUAUUAUAAUUAUUCUUAUUUUAUGAUCCUUUACUAGGGAUUAAAAGGUUAAGUUACUUUAGGGAUAACAGCGUAAUUCUUUUUGAGAGUUCUUAUCGACAAAAGCAGUUGCGACCUCGAUGUUGAAUUAAGGUUUCAUAGGGGUGUAGCCGCUCUUCUAGUAGGUCUGUUCGACCUUUAAAACUUUACAUGAUUUGAGUUCAAACCGGUGUGAG
rnacentral:rRNA from 1 species